rnacentral:tRNA from 1 species
GGGCCCGUAGUUCACCGGUAGAAUACAUCCAUGGCAUGGAUGAGAAAGGAGUUCGAUUCUCCUCGGGUCCA